rnacentral:rRNA from 1 species
UACGUAGGGCGCAAGCGUUGUCCGGAAUUACUGGGCGUAAAGCGUGCGCAGGCGGUUUUGUAAGUCUGUCGUGAAAGCCCCGGGCUUAACCUGGGAAUUGCGAUGGAGACUGCAAGGCUUGAAUCUGGCAGAGGGGGUAGAAUUCCACGUGUAGCAGUGAAAUGCGUAGAGAUGUGGAGGAACACCGAUGGCGAAGGCAGCCCCCUGGGUCAAGAUUGACGCCUCAUGCACGAAAGCGUGGGGAGCAAACAGG